UACGAAGGGUGCAAACGUUGCUCGGAAUUAUUGGGCGUAAAGCGCACGUAGGCGGCAUUGCAAGUCGGAUGUGAAAUCCCUCGGCUUAACCAAGGAAGUGCAUCCGAAACUGCAGUGCUUGAGUACUUAAGAGGAUCGCGGAAUUCCCGGUGUAGAGGUGAAAUUCGUAGAUAUCGGGAGGAACACCAGUGGCGAAGGCGGCGAUCUGGGGAAGAUACUGACGCUGAGGUGCGAAAGCGUGGGGAGCAAACAGG
rnacentral:rRNA from 1 species